UUGGAAUUUAACUGCGAACGCGAUGUGAUCGAGGCGGAAAGAAGCUGUCAGGAUGGAAGGGCUUUCAAAGGAUGGAAUGACUUCUUUGCUGACUCUGCGCUGUCUUCGCUGUCGGCUGCGUCGGAUUGCCCCGAGGACCUGGCUGGAAAAUUGCAUUUAACUCGACCUUAUAUAGACGCCCACUAACCGAUAUCUUUUUUUACGAACCGCUUCAGUAAUUCUAGUUGUAUCACCAAUAUUUGUCCGUAGUUUGAUUGGCAUUUAGAGAUAACAUGCUUAUGCUUCUUAUUAUUAAAAUAGUAAUUUGAAUAAAAUACUUUGAGUUUUUUCCUAUUUUGUUUUAUGCUUUUUAUUAAUCGCUUUCAAUAAAAAACGAAGGAUCGAACGAAAUAACAUAAACUAUUAUUUGGAUCAUCACAGUAUUCAGAAUCAGGACAAUGGUAAAUUUAAAGGACCAGACAUACAUAUCCGAGGCAAUGAAGUAGGGGAAGUCCGCCCAAAAACUAUAUCACAAUAGGGAGCUGAACGUUUAAGGAUAUCCAAUAUGUAACCCAUAACUUAGGUUAAGGAUAGUAGACUAUUUUAAGUGACAAAUUCCUUUAUUUUAUUUAAAACAUACAUUAAAAUUAAUUAAAAUCAAAACAAUUAACGAAAAUAAAUCAAAUGUAUUAUCUUGAAAAACCUGUGAUUAAGACUAUGUGGCUCCUUUAAAUACACUUUAAAAUUACAUUUUGAUUAAAGCCAUGAAUCAUUUGUAUAAAAUUUCAACUCCUUUCGCAUAUUAUUUCAUUAAGAGCCGUCCUUGUUUUCUGUGCCUUCCCCAUCAUCCCCGGCAGCCCUCCUGUCCCCGGCAAAUGUCCGCCUCCUGUGCAAUUUUAAUCAGCAAAAGGCAUUCAUCUUGUUCGCCAAACUAAUUUUUUAUCUUGCCAGCCCGGCAGUCUGGCAGGAGCCAUCGAGAAA